rnacentral:lncRNA from 1 species
GACAGAUGUGGCCCCAUCCCUCACACAGCUUAUUGUAAGUGUGGGGUGGUGAGGAGGGUGGUGCAGAGAGGCAAAUCUUAAUACUGAGUUGGCAAUUGAAAAUAUGUAGUGAGUUGCGGAAGUAGAGGGUACUGUGGGAGCACCUAGGAAAGACACCAGCCCAGAUUUGGCACAUCAGAGAAGGCUUUCUGAGAAAGGAGAUGUAUAAACUGAAAUUGGAAGGACAAAUCGGGAGUUAGCCAGCUAAGAAGGGAAGGGGGAAUGUUUGAGGUGGAGAGAAUAAAAUGUGCAAAGGAUUGAAGAUAAGAGAUGGUGUGACAUUAUUGAAUCUUAGAGUGGAGAAUGGCAAGAAAUAAAGCGAAAGAAGUGGGCUAGGCGUGGUGGCUCGUGCCUGUGAUCCCAGCAUUUUGGGAGGCCAAGGCGAGAGGAUUGCUUUAGCCCAGGAGUUUAAGAUCAGCCUGGGUAAUACAGUGAGACCCCAUCUCUAGAAAAAAUAAAAAAUUAGUCAAAUGUGGUGUUAGUCCCAGCUACGUGGGGGACUAGUAGUCCCAGCUACUUGGGAGGGGGAGAUGGGAGGAUUGCUUGAGCCUGGGAAGCGAAGGUUGCAGUAAGAUGAGAUCGUGCCGCUGCACUCCAGCCUGGGUGACAGAGUGAGACUCUGUCUCUUAGGAAAAAAAAAAAGCUGAAGGAGUAGACAAUGGCCAGGACACACGGGUCCUUGUAAACCACUCUAAGAUACCCUUUUUCGUAAACUUUUACUAAAUAUAACAUUCAGAAAAAUGCACGGAUCAUAAGGGUACAGUUCAUUGAAUUAAAGUGAUCACAUUUUUAUAAUCACUACUUAUGUCAAGAAAUAGAACAUUAUAAACACCCCAGAAUCUUCCUUUGGGCCCUUUCCCAACCUCUGUCACCUACCUUCUUCCAAAAGAGAACUAUUGGCUGGGCUUAGUGACUCAUGCCUGUAAUCCCAGCAUUUUGUUGGGGCCAAGGCAGGAGGAUCAUCUGAGCCCAGGAGUUGAGACCAACCUGGGCAACAUGGGGAGACCCUGUCUCUACAAAAACUUUUAAAAAAUUGUCCCAGCUACUCAGGAGGCUGAGGUGGGAGGAUCACUUGAGCCUGGAGGUCAAGGCUGUAGUGAGCCAUGAUUGUGUCACUGUACUUCUGCCUGGGUGACAGAGCAAGACUCUGUCCCCCCCCCCCAAAAAAAAAAAAAAAAACAAAAAACAAAACAAAAGGGAACCACUCUCCUGACUAACAACAGUGGGGAUUAGUUUUGUCUGCUUUUGAACUUUAUAUGAAUGGAAGCAUGUGGCAUAUGUUAUUUUCUGUCUGGUUCUUUAACCUAAAAAGAAAUUUAUCCAUAGUUUUGUGUGUAGCAUAGUUUAUAAUAUUCUAGUAUAUGAAUAUUCUACAUUUGUUUAUCCAUUCUUUUAUUUUGGAAUAUCUGGGUUUCUACUUUUUUGCUAUUAUGAGUUAUGCUGCUGUGAACAGCCUUGUACAUGUCUCUUAGUUCCCGUGUCUAUUUAUGUCUAUUUGUAAACAUAGUUAGCUACAAGGAGAAUUGCUGGGUCAUAGGGUAUGUGUUUGAUCUAUUCCUUUAUAAUCAGUGCUGGCUGAAGACUCUUCCCUACUUAACGAUCAGGAAGAUAUUCUCUCAUCUUUAAAAAUACAUAUGGGUUCAUAAAAUACAUAUUAAUCUGCAACUUGCCUUUUCUUUCUUCUCAUUUAAUGCUUUCUUUUUUCCCAUUAAUGUAAAGAGGUUAUGGUCUGCAAAGUGGAUUUCUAAUCACCUUAUUUAACUUUUUAGCAUAAUGUUUUUAGUGACAUGAAAAUUAGAAUCCUAUGAAGUGAGGCUGAGAUUUUCCAUUCAGAGUUUAAAGUAUUACCAUAUAUUGUUAAAAAAAAAAGAAAAGAAGCCAGGCGCUGUGGCUCACACCUGUAAUCCCAGCACUUUGGGAGGCUGAAGCAGGUGGAUCAUGAGGUCAGGAGUUCAAGAUGAGCCCGGCCAACAUGGUGAAACCCUGUCUCUACUAAAAAUACAAAAAUUAGUUGGGCGUG